UACGGGGGGGGCAAGCGUUGUUCGGAAUUACUGGGCGUAAAGGGCGCGUAGGCGGCCUUCUAAGUCGGACGUGAAAUCCCUCGGCUCAACCGAGGAACUGCGUCCGAUACUGAAAGGCUUGAAUCCGGGAGAGGGAUGUGGAAUUCCAGGUGUAGCGGUGAAAUGCGUAGAUAUCUGGAGGAACACCGGUGGCGAAGGCGGCAUCCUGGACCGGCAUUGACGCUGAGGCGCGAAAGCUAGGGGAGCAAACAGG
rnacentral:rRNA from 1 species